rnacentral:rRNA from 1 species
CCUACGGGAGGCAGCAGUGAGGAAUUUUCCGCACUGGCUGCAAGCCUGAUCCAGCAAUACCGCGUGUGUGAAGAAGGCUUUCGGGUUGUAAAGCACUUUCAGUAGGGAGGAAAACCUUAUGGUUAAUACCCAUGAGGCUUGACGUUACCUACAGAAGAAGCACCGGCUAACUCCGUGCCAGCAGCCGCGGUAAU